GGGAAGGCAAUGAUCCUGAUGACAGUUCGAAGAUCACCUAUGGUCAGCUCCUUAAAGAUGUCUGCAAGUUUGCCAAUGUCCUCAAACAACAUGGUGUAAAGAAAGGAGAUCGUGUAGCAAUCUACAUGCCUAUGAUAUUUGAGCUAGUGGUGGCCAUGCUGGCUUGUGCUCGUAUUGGAGCAAUGCAUUCUAUCGUGUUUGGAGGUUUUUCAUCAGACUCUCUUGCUGGUCGAAUGUUGGAUGCUAAAUCAUCUGUUCUUGUCACUGCGGGUAAGACUAUAAAAUCCUUUUGAGAAAUUGAUACUAUAUUAAUAUUUGAGGGUCAAAUGUCAAUUUAGUUCUGAUUGAAAUAAAUCAGGGGAGUGUUUCAUCAACAUUUUCGUCUUGACAAGUUAUCAGAUCUGACAACUUUCCUUAAUGUUGAUUGGCUGAGAAGCAUUGUUACUAUGGUUACUGUAGUAUAAAACGAGACUUGUCAGAUAAAAUGUCGGACAGGUCCUUUAAUGAAAUGCUCCCCUGAACGAAAUUGACCUUUGACCCCCCAGGCAAGACCAUAGCCUACCUAUACCUUGGUUGUGAGACAUUCAUAUUUGGGCUCAAGGGUCAAUUUAGGUCUCAAUUAAACUCAAAGAAGGUACACAUAUUUUCCCAGUCAGUUUUCAAAUUCAGGUGUUUCUUUGUUGCUAUUGCCUAUCCUUUCCCCCUAUUUUAGUCAAACUUCCAUUUCCAUUUCAAUUUUGAGAUCAGAUUACACAGAACACAUGUUAUUCCAAAGAUGAUAUAUCCACUUAAGUAUCAAUCUUGUUAGAUGCUCAAGGCGCUCCUAUAUUACCUCGAUUAUUAAGCUAGUUUACUGAUGGUGGUGCUCAGAGUUUUUGAGGAAUUGAUUUCUGCCGCUACCCAUUCACCUCACCUGGGUUGAGUGCAGCACAUUGUGGAUAUAUUUCUUGCUGAAGGACAUUAUGCCGUGGCUGGGAUUAGAAUCCACAAUCGUCUUGUUUCAAAGUCUGGAGACUAAUCCACUGGGCCACAAUGCUAUAUGUUACCUCUUUUCUGUGAAAUUUUGCCAAAAGUUGAACAGGUUUUUGUGGUCCUAAAAGAUUGCAUGUGGACAUAGUGGUCUGUGUUCUAUUGUGUGGCCAUAGGCCAUAAACUGUGCUAAUAUUUUGGAAAGCCAAAAAAGUCAAAAUUUUGUGAAAAUUGUAGGCCUAGGUAUGUCCACUGUUUUCUGCAUCAUGCUCUAAUGGCGAGGAAAACUUAUUCAUUUGUUAUUUCCAGAAUUUCUGAAUGAUCUGAGUAACAGAUAAGCUGAUAAAUCAUACCUGUCCUGUUGGAGAUUUGUGUCAUAAUUGUGUAUUAAAGGGGAAGUUCGCCCUGACAAAAAGUUGAUUGCAAAAUUAGCAGAAAAAAUAAUAAAAAAUAUUGGAGAAGGUUUGAGAAAAAUCCAUAAAAGAAUAAAAAGUUAGGAGAAUUUUAAUUAUUUGAUUUGUGACGUCAUAUGCGAGCAGCUUUACGACAUAUUGUAUGGUUUAAAAAAAUCAAUGAAAUAUGUCAUUUUCUCAGAAAAUUUUAAUAGAACUUUAUUACUGUAUGUUUAGCAUAUCAAUACAAAUCAUUUCACAUCUGUUUUGAAAAAUAAAAUUAAAAUAAGACUUCACGAUCCAUUAAAAAUCUAUAUUAUAUGCCAUUUGGGGCAGCUGCUCGUUUAUGAUGUCACAAAUCCAAAACUUAAAAUGCAAUUAACUUUCUUAAUCUCUAAUGGAUUUUCCUUUUCCUCAAACCUUCACCAAUAUUUUUAAUGAUUUUUCUGCUAUUUUACAACAAACUUUUGUUCAGGGUGAACUUCCCCUUUAAUUUCGUUAUAGUUAAACCACAACUUUAGACCAGAGUUUAAAUUAAAGGUAAAUUCCAGUUCUGGUAACGAUCUCAAAAUGAUUUUUUACAGAAUCUAAUAUAAUGACCACCCAAGUGUCUGUUUGUAUGAAUAAAAAAUAUGUGCCAAAGGAUUCUGGAAGAAAUUGUGUAAUUGCUGAGAAAUAAGCAAAAUAAGCGCGGAUUCGGUCACUUCCGUCGGGUCUUUAUUCCAGCAAUGAUAAUACACUGUCCCACGUGUGCCUAUCUGUGUUGGCGAUCUUCAGUGUGAUCGUAUUUCAGCUUAGAUUUUAUGAUUUCACAAAGUUCAGUUUAUGUAACUGUACCAGAUCUAGAUCCACGAUGAUAUAGUCAUACUUAACCUUGGUUUUACAGACUUUCUCACGAAAUUAGUGUUUUACUGCAACUACUUAGCUUUAAACCUAAGUUUAGAAUUCUUAUUCAUAUUAUGGCCUUGCUUGCAAUGAGGAUCAUUCCUAUCAUACAAGCUCAAAGAUAUAUUAUUUACUUUAAUAGCACUUGAGACGGUUAAUUGUAUCAUUGUCUGAUGAUAAAGUAAAUUUGAUCUAUAAUAUUACAAAAUGUAUUAACCACAAACGAGACAAAAUUUGAGUUCGAUGUCCAGGGGAACAUUACAUCAACAUGUGUCAUCCGCAUGGGCGUCAAUCCAAACUUGAGCAUGGGGGGGACACAAUAGCAACAUGCAAGCAUGUCACUUUUAUAGGUAUACUUUCAAAGUUAAUACCAUGACGUAUUGCUGAAGCCCGUCUUCUUUCUCCCUCUCUCCACGUACCCCCCCCCCUCUCUCUAGCUCUCUCUAUCCCACCACACACACAAACACACCCACCCACACACAACCUCUUUCUGACUUUGUUUCCUUCAAUUUGACCUUUGAGUAUAUGAAAACUAUAUGAAAGGAUGCCUUUAUCAUGCUUUCAACAAGAAUGUUAAGAAGCUUUAUGAACAUAUCUAUUAAAUACUGAAAUUUUUCUCCAUGAAAAUCAAGUUCCCUGGUUAUGUUACAUUGUGACAUGAAUAAUAAUGUAUAAAUAAACUCAAAAUAAAAUGCAUCACUUGUCAUAUUUUAUUCAAACUUCAAGAAUAUGACAUAUUAUUUUCAUCAUGACUUAGUCCAAUAACUUGUAGUAGAGGUGUAGUAUCUUCCAAAUUUCAUCCUCCUUCUUUGCUCAACUUUGCCUUACAUUACUCAUCCUAGUCAGAGAUUAAUGAAUAUCAGAAAAGAAAUUUACCAG